UGUCUCCCUUCACGACACUGUCUCCUGCUUGCCUGUCACCGGCCAGAAGGGGGUGGUGGCUUGCUGGCAGCCACCUGGCAGGCACUGAGCUUUCUCUUGUGGCCGCCCCUCAAUUUAGCCACUCCCUCUCUGUGCCCUGGGAACCGGGCCCCCGUUCCAGCAAGCUCCAUCUGGAACACCGUCGGCUGACUGGGAAGUUAAGGAAGAGAAGGAGACACACUCAAGUUGGGAGGAAAAGAAAGAAGAGAGAAGAAAGUGACAAGAGAGGAGAGAAAGAGGAGCAGAAAGAGAACGAGAAAGGAAGGAGGUGAUGGUGACAGAGGAAGAUGGAAAGGGAAGAGUGAGCGGAGGAGCUCCCCAGCAAAUGAAAGAGCUGGCUCUUUGUGCUGGGAAUUUCCGCCCCCAAAGAGACGGGAAGAGGCACCGCUUUCCAAAAGGUAGAUGCCGAGGUGAGACGCCCCGAGGAAGAUAUGUUGCUGCUGGAGGCUGUGAGCUUCACAUGCUCUUCGAGCCCGGAGGGAGCCUCCAGAGAACCCUUCCUUCUCCAGAUGUCCCCCAGAAUUCUUGGGGGGCAUAGGAUGCUGAGGUCUUGGGAAGUCCGAGAGUGGACUGAGAAAGAGAAGAAUGAAUUUUGUGUUCUACAUCUUUUAAACUGCCUGGGGCUGCACCCUAUCCCGAGUAAGGAGCACGUCGGUGUCUGGCCCCCUCCCCACCCUGAGACCUUCAUACCUGCAUGGUGUCCCACCUGCAGUCAAUGAGCAGCACGGAGGUUUUUGCUCCCCCCUCCUCCGGAAAGCCUUCCCUGAUCUCUCUAGGCAGAACUGAGGGGCUGCCCUCUGCUUCCACGGGCACAGCGUACCCAUCAGAACCGCUGGCCUCGAGGCAGAGGCAGACCUUGCUCCCCACGCUGCGGACCCCAGAGGACAGCACCUGUGGCUUUUUUCUGUGAUGGACUGUGGGCUGGAACCCCAUCCUUCACCCCGCUCUGCGCUCAGGCCCUUUGCACAGGACUAUAUUUUUUCCUCUAAAAGGGUAGAGUCUGUUUCUUACUCCCUGACUCCUGGUUUGUGGGUGUGGUUUUCUUUGGCAAUAAAAUGAGGUGGAGGUCACCGUGUGCCUGCUCUGGGAGCCCAGGACUACAAGGAGGUCCUGUGCCUUCUGCUUGCUUUGCUGCCCCUCUGCCACCAGCAUGAGCGUGCCCCAGGCUAGCCUAGGCCAGGAGGAUGAGAGGUACCUGGAGCAGAGCUGCCCCCGCCGCCGACCCCCUCAUGCUGAGUGAGCUCAGCCAGGUCAGCAGAGCUGCUGGGCGCUCCAGCCUCGCUCAGCUGAUCUUUAGCGGACCCUCAGGUACACGAGCUACAGAAAUGUUCAUUGUUGUAAGCUAGAGAGAUUUGGGAGUUGGUCAUUCCACAGCAUUUCUGUUGCAAAAGCCACCUGAUAUAUUUACUAAUGCCUCUCAUAGUGUCUGGCAGGUGGAAUGUUAAAGAAACUCAUUUGAUGGAGAACUAUAAAUUGAAGAUGGAAUCAUAUCCCAUUUUAUCUUCAAAAGGAUCCUCUAAGAUGGUCAAGCAUAAUUAGCCCAAAAUUACAGAUAAAGAAUCUGAGGCCCAGAAGGGUUACUUAGCUUCCUAAGAUCACAUAGCAAGAAAACACCAAGGCCAGUAUCUGAAGCCAGAUCCUGUGUGUCCAAGGCCCACCCUCUUUCCAGGACAUGUGAGCACGGCCAGAGCCGGCCCCACAGCCCUGUGAAAGGCACUGCCUGGCUGUGGUGUCAGUACUUUACAAGCCACCCCACCAGAUGCCACGGGCCUCCCAUCUGCCUGCUUGCGCUCAAUGGGAAGAUGAAUGGAAGGGCUGAGACCCUCAGAGAGAAACUGGCAAUGUGGCACCGGGACCUUUAAUUUCAAGAGGCCAGACGCUGGAUGCGGAACAGCUCAGGCUGGAGAGGAGGUCGCAGGUUUUGUUCCUCUCCUAAUACUGUGCUGGGAGCCUUUGAAGUGUGUCAACACCUCAUCACAUCACUGGAGUGAUGACUGCAAGCUCCACAGACCAGACCAGGAGCACAGGGCUGGUACUCCUGAUUUGGGGGAUGCGCCUGGUCCUACCCACGACCCUGUGCUUAAGACGUCCUCACCGCCCCUUAGGCCACCUAACGGGGGUGAGAACUUCCUUUCUUCAGAUGUUUCACCCUGCCGAGCCAAAUCCUUCCUAUGGAUUUAUUCCUCUUUCAGGUCUCAAAUAUCUUGUUGGGAUGUGCUCUGUAACCUUGAGAACUUUGCAACUCAAGUUCUCACACCGCCUUCUCCCAUCCGGUUCCCUGAUCAAAGCUUUGACCCUUUAGAAAAUUACAUGAGCGUCACAUAAGCUGCCUCAAGGGAUUUUGGGAGGCUUAACUGUAACUCGGGUAGGACAGAUCUAAAAAGCCAAGCAAUCCUGUCUCCUGAGAACCUGCCUUUUAAUACAUGGACAUGAUUAGACAUUCUUUUUUUUUCUUUAAUGGAGGUACUGGGGAUUGAACCCAGGACCUCAUGCAUGCUGAGCACACGCUCUACCGCUGAGCUAUAUCCUCGCCCACGAGCAGAGCAGACGUUCCUGACCUGCCUCCCAGAGUAAGGACAUCAGACCCAAAGGAGAACAGCCAAGGAAACCUUUGACUCCAUCACACACACAGCAUGGGAGGCAAGAGCAGGGAGGAAGAAGACGGGUGAGGCUCUCCGGACAAGCUUCAACCAGGGCCGUGGUCCAGUGCGAUGAAAGAACACCAGACCAGGAGACUCAGAAUCUAGUUUCACCCACGAAAGGUUUGGUGUUUGCCCUUGAACAAGACCCCCAUGCCCCUCUCCCUCACCCCUAUUCCCAGCCUGGGCUUCAGCUUCCCUAUCUGAGAAACCAGCUAGAAGGUCCUUCCAACAGUAAGAUUCUUGGAUCCUAAACUCAGGUGGGUCUCAGCAACAGUGUUACCAGGAGUCUGGCCACAGACACACCUACGUGACAACUUGGUGCAUCCAAACCCUCUCUCCCUGCCGACUCCCCCAUGCUCACAGCCUACAGCUGUCUACUAACCCAGAUGUGUCCCUUGCAACGCUACCCAGCACCUCUGCAAUCUCAUUUUGAGCUGGGCCUGGAGAAGGCUGGAGUCCAGGAUGGUCUGAGCCCAGGGUGGGGAAUGGCCCACAGACAGGGUACACAUGGCAGUGAAGGGGCA